AGGCCCAUGGUGUCAACGGCUAGCAUAACCGUCUCCAAAACGGUUGGUCCAGGUUCGAAUCCUGGUGGGCCUG
rnacentral:tRNA from 1 species